rnacentral:rRNA from 1 species
AACUUCGCCCAAGGUAAGGAAUUAACGUCGAGAAAUCGGCGCUAAUACCUCAUAAUGCAGCGGAUCCGCAUGGAUAUGUUGUUAAAGGUUUACCGCCUUGGGAUAGGCUUGCGUCUGAUUAGCUAGUUGGUGUGGUAACGGCACACCAAGGCUACGAUCAGUAACUGGUCUGAGAGGAUGAUCAGUCACACUGGAACUGAGACACGGUCCAGACUCCUACGGGAGGCAGCAGUGAGGAAUAUUGGGCAAUGCUCGAAAGAGUGACCCAGCAACGCCGCGUGGAGGAUGAAGGUAUUCUAUAUCGUAAACUCCUGUGAGAGCAGACGAAAGACAGAUUAUUAAUCUGGAUGACUGUAUGCUCAGAGGAAGCCCCGGCUAACUACGUG